rnacentral:tRNA from 1 species
CGGGGCGUGGCGCAGUUUGGUUAGCGCGUUAGACUGGGGGUCUAAAGGCCGCCGGUUCGAGUCCGGCCGCCCCGACCA